UUGACCGUCGACUUCCUUCAGUCCACCGCUCGCCUCGACCCCUCUCGCCUCUCCUCCCACACUAGGCCACCACGCCGCCGCCACCAUGGGGCUCGCCGUCGUUGCGCCCCCGUCCGGCUGUCCACGGAUCCGCUAGGACCAGAUGCCGCUCUCCAUGUCUCGCUGGCUGCCCAGCUUUCUGGCGCCCCGCCCAACCACCCCGACGGCCCGACGUGCAACAGCAGUGGCAAGACUCCAGCAAGGCGGCGAGCAACCAGACCUUCGGCGAAGCGGCUCCGCACCUAGGGCCCCUCCGAGACUGGCGUCAUCCAGGCGGUGAACUGCAGAUCCGUGUAUCUAGGUCGAUUUGGCUCUUCUUCUGUUGGCUACUUUUCAGAUUGUCCUAUAACAAUUUCACUACAGCUGGAUAUAUGUCGUUAUCUGAAUAUGUGGAGCAAAGCGCGCCAAUCGGCCUAGUACAUGUUGGCUACUGGACCAAACCAUGCACUGAAUCUUUUGCUGAUCAGUAGGCGGCAAUACAGGCCAUGGGUGCCCCUGAUUGACGACUAGUCAUGGACAUCUCUCACAAAACAUUUGACUAACGCUGUUAUAACAUUUACAUUUAUAUUACUAUUUUUCAGAUUUCCUUGAAUGGAUCUUGGAGGAUAGACUGUAAAGAAAAGAUGGAUUAAUCUGUGGCUCCAAGUGCUGAUCUGAAGCUGAAGAUGCUCUGCAGUGGAAUAAGUUUGCUAGUAGAGAAAGGAGUUAAAUGUUUGUAAAACUGUGUGUCAUGUGUAUUCUGAGAGAUGCAUUGUUCUCACCGGCUGGACAAGAAAGUAGUCUGAACGAUUUCUGUAUGCAGGCAGUAACAGUAUUUAAGACUUUUUGAAUUUUCAGGCUACUGCUUGGUGUCAGUAAACCUAAUCUUCUGAA